UGGGCUCGGCAACGGCCGGGAGAGGGCUCUGAGUAAACGGUGUUGGUGUGCGCGUGGCUGGGCCUCAGCCUCUGUCUUCUCCGCCGGAUUCAGGCCGUUAGGAAGGGCUGCGUCGACGUUAGCGCGUUAAAAACUGCCGGUUGUUCUGGGCUGAGCUCCAGAAGUUCAGGUCUCCUCAGUCCGGCUGGUCAGAUCCGCACAGAACUGAGCGUCGACACGGCUCAUAGGUGUCGUCAGCCUCCCUGUCGGUGAUGCAAAGUUCCUAUAACCACUUCCUUGUCAAGGGUCAGGAUUACUCCAUCCCUCCUUCUCUGAGAAUGUUUAGAAACCACACCUGCUCCAGAGGAUCAAAAGAGGUUUGGAGGACAUACCAUCUGUAUGACAGGACUACACAUAGAUUGCUCACAUUUGACAGAUGUGAGCCAGCUUUCUUCCUAGAUUUGUGAGACAUAACAUGUGAAGGUGGAUAUUGGCUUUCACAGUGCAAAGCUCCUGGAAUCAAGGUGAAAUGUGAAAAUCUCAGCUUCUUUGGAAAACAAACAAACAAACCAAAACCAAAACCACCAAAACAUUUCCAUCUUCUAGGGUUGUGAGGUGCUGAUAUCAAACAAAGGUGGCUAGUGAAGCGGAUCUUACUUUGCCAAUUCAAACCUUGCUGCUUUAGAGCAGGGCUGGUGCCUGCCCACCGUGGAGACGUGAGGCUGCCAGCUGCCAGCUCAGGAGAUGCGCAGUGUCCCAGCAUGCUGCCUGGAGAGCAGAGCUCCAUAACCUCAUCAGUUGUAGCAGUGAAAAUCAGCCCAACGCCCAAGAGAAAAUAAAUGUAGGAAACACACUGUAAAGAACGCCUACUGUGGUUUCUCUCUUUCUGGGUGUUUGAGGUGGGUGAAAUUGAAAUAUCCUCCAAAGCCUUCCUUUAGGUUAUGUUGGGAUGCAAUUCCCCUGGUUCCCCCUCGGACUCCCAUAGCAUUCAGAACAGACUGAAACUCCCAACAGCACUGAUUCCCCAAAUGGCUUGAAGAAACACAAUCAGCAGCAGAGACCAAGGGAGAGGGCUUAGAGUUUGAGAGUGUUUCAUAAUAAAUUUCUGGAAACCCUGAAGACUUGCACUCAGAUAUGAACUUGCUGUUCUUCUUUCACUUUUAGCAGAUGUUUAUCCACUGCACAACCACCACUAACUGCUGUUCACAAAGCGAUUAACGAGUGCAGGAGUCACAUAGAGCUGUGUUUUAACCAUUUAAAAGUGCAAUCAUAAUUUUACCAUACAGCAAACUGCUCUUGGUUACUUGGCUACUUUUUUAUGCUACCACUUCUCUGAAGGAUCCUCCAAAUUCAAUGGAAUAUUCCGGCACAUUUAUUCAGCUUUGAUUCCCUGAAGAAAUCCCAGAAAACAGGGUUUAGAGACUGUCUGAAGCAGAAGCAGCUAUUCUGCGGACAGAAAUUCAGAGACUCCAGGCCAAGUACAUCGAUUAGUUACUGCGAGGACCAGGCAGGAAAACUUGGGCAGCCAGGCUAUGGCUUAGGGCCAGGAAAACAGCUGCUUCUAAGUUCUUAAAAGCUAGAUGCCUUUGUGUAACACAAGUCGUGCAGAAAUUCUUAACUCUUCAGUCUGAUCCUAUGUCUUUUGUUUUUUUUUUUAAAUGAAAGCUCAUCAACCUGCUUGAAAAUAUGUUCCAUACCUAUC